ACUACGGGCGGCAGCAGUGAGGAAUAUUGGUCAAUGGGCUUACGCCUGAACCAGCCAAGUCGCGUGAGGGAAGACUGCCCUAUGGGUUGUAAACCUCUUUUGUCAGGGAGCAAUUGGCGCUACGUGUAGCGUUAUCGAGAGUACCUGAAGAAAAAGCAUCGGCUAACUCCGUGCCAGCAGCCGCGGUAAUACGGAGGAUGCGAGCGUUAUCCGGAUUGAUUGGGUUUAAAGGGUGCGUAGGCGGAAUGCCAAGUCAGCGGUAAAAUCGCGGGGCUAAACCUCGCUCCGCCGUUGAUACUGGCGUUCUUGAGUGGGCGGGAGGUAUGCGGAAUGCGUGGUGUAGCGGUGAAAUGCAUAGAUAUCACGCAGAACUCCGAUUGCGAAGGCAGCAUACCGGCGCCCAACUGACGCUGAAGCACGAAAGCGUGGGUAUCGAACAGGAUUAGAUACCCUUGUAGUC
rnacentral:rRNA from 1 species